CCUGAAAGGGCAGGGUGCCCGCAAGGGAGCGUGGAGACAGGUGGUGCGUGGCUGUCGUCAGCUCGUGUCGUGAGAUGUUGGGUUAAGUCCCGCAACGAGCGCAACCCUCACCCCUAGUUGCCACCGGGUAAAGCCGAGCACUCGAGGGGAACUGCCAGCGUCAAGCUGGAGGAAGGCGGGGAUGACGUCAAGUCAUCAUGCCCCUUACGCCCUGGGCUACACACGUGCUACAAUGGCCGGUACAAAGGGACGCGAGACCGCGAGGUGGAGCCAAUCCCAAAAAACUGGUCUAAGUUCAGAUUGCAGUCUGCAACUCGACUGCAUGAAGGAGGAAUCGCUGGUAAUCGCGCAUCAGCACGGCGCGGUGAAUACGUUCCCGGGCCUUGUACACACCGCCCGUCACACCACGAAAGCUGU
rnacentral:rRNA from 1 species